CCUACGGGUGGCAGCAGUGAGGAAUAUUGGUCAAUGGGCGCGAGCCUGAACCAGCCAAGUAGCGUGAAGGAUGACUGCCCUACGGGUUGUCAACUUCUUUUAUAAAGGAAUAAAGUGAGGCACGUGUGCCUUUUUGUCUGUACUUUAUGAAUCACGAUCGGCUCACUACGUGCCAGCAGCCGCGGUAAUACGGAGGAUCCGAGCGUUAUCCGGAUUUAUUGGGUUUAAAGGGAGCGUAGAUGGGUUGUUAAGUCAGUUGUGAAAGUUUGCGGCUCAACCGUAAAAUUGCAAUUGAUACUGGCAGCCUGGAGUACAGUUGAGGUAGGCGGAAUUCGUGGUGUAGCGGUGAAAUGCGUAGAUAUCACGAAGAACUCCGAGUGCGAAGGCAGCCUACUAAACUGCCACUGACAUUGAGGCUCGAAAGUGUGGGUAUCAAACAGGAUUAGAUACCCUAGUAGUC
rnacentral:rRNA from 1 species